rnacentral:lncRNA from 1 species
AGAAGGUAGAUAGCAGUGUUUCAGCCAUGGGAUCUCACGUACGGUAGUGAGCUAUCAACCCAUCUUUAUAGGUAUGCAUUGGAAAUGGUAACAUUUUAAAUUGAAACCAUGCUUUUAAUAUGUUUUUAAUCUCUCAGGAGAUAUUCUUGGUGUUCCUGAUGUUACUCAUGGGCCAAUGAGCAUAGCUGAACUUGCUCAACCUGAUUCUCUAGGAGCAUAUGGAAACACCAAUCUGACACCUCAGUUGGAUGACUCAUUGCAGACAAAGUCCCAAGAAGCUUUCCAGGAAAUACCAGUGAAUUCCAGAAUCAUCUGUGUAAAACCAAAAUCCGAACAUACACAGCAGAAAGGGAUAGAGGUCAUACCCCAUUUAAGUCCCCUUCCUGCACCAGGUAAAGUAUCUGUGAAGGUGCCAUCUGCUGAUACAGAGGACAAAACUCUGAGCUUCAGUUCAGUUCAUGGGAGUUCAGGCUCUUCCGGAGCAGACACAUUUUGAAAUGUGCAGGCUUAUUCAUGCAUACAGGCAUUUUGGGGAAGAGGAUGUUGAUGGAUAUUUGUCUGAAAAUAAUGUAACACGUUAGCUUUUGGUGCAGAAAUGUUGCCAGCCACAUUAUUGUAAAGAAUUGAUUUGCCUUUAUAUAUAUAUAUCUGUGCAUAUGUGUUGAUAAGAUAUGUACAUUUUUAAUAAAAUAUUUUGUGUUUUU